AACUAUAACUUAGUGACUGAAAAUAGCUGCUGCAGUCUACUUAGAUGGGUAACAUAACUUGAGUUACAUGAAGGAAAGGAAUCACCCCCUAAUACUCUCUCUGAUGUGCCUUUUUUUAUUACAAUAUGCUAUGUUACUUCAAUUGAUAUUGGUUUUCAGGUCCAGCCGCCCUGGAUAAAAAGGUCAAAUUCAACCUUGACAUAGUAAGCAAAUUCGAAAAAACUGGAGAAUUAGAACAGAAGCCAUGGAACAGAAUUAGAACUGAAGAAAAUCGAGAGUUCUCUGUUCUUUUUUGUUCAGCACGGCAACAAGUUGCUAAUAAAAAUUCUUGCUGGAUGAAAACUUGUACUUGAUGUGUUGGAAGAAAGACUUUGUAUUUGAUGUAAUACUGGAUGAAAAGUUGUUGUAUUUGAUGUGAUGCCUGUUCUGUUUAAUUUUUGGAAAUGAGAUCCAUGGGUUGGAAUUGGAA